rfam:Angomonas deanei Cont12812, whole genome shotgun sequence.
AAGCAGCAUCAGUACAGCGAACGAGGAAAAUCAAGUUCCUUGCCUCGCUGGCGAUGUAGCAAGA